CAAAACCGGCUAUUAUAUCCCGGCUUGUAAACAGGAAAUUUAACACCGAUUUACUGCGGCAGGCCAGAAUACUGAAGGGAAAUGAAGUGUACCAGAACGAACGCCUAACAAAGAAGAACGCAUUUGCCAGCAGGCCCGGACCCUCAGAAAACAAAACAAAAUACAAGCGACCUGGACGAGGAACUGUAGAGUGUGGAUUAAGCUGAACGGAACACUGGAGAAAGCUGAAGUCAUCAUGCUGUAACUCAGAAAGUAACCCUCAGAAGACAGCCUGAAGCUUGUGUCUUUGAAGCACACUCCAGAGAUCCCAGCAGAAAAAUCUUCAGAUGAAACCUCAAAACACGACCAGGUAAUGCUAGAAUGGUUGUCUGUGCCUUUAAGUGGAGAUGGUGAUGUCAUUACGCACGCACGGGAUAACGGGGAGACCACUUUGCUUUCUGCUGCCGAAGCUGGUAGGGUGUUGGAAUCAAGUUCUCCCAGAGGUACUGGGCUGGGUGAGGAAAGAUUUUCACGAGUAAAGAACUCGACGCUGGAUAGCGUGGCUUGCAAAGUUCCUCACCGGCCAAGUAGGUCGGGAGCAGGGAUUCUGCAGUCGUUUGCUGGGGAGAGAUGAGAGAAGACACGAAUGGGGAGUGUUGGUAGACCACAGAGUGGAUUUGGUGCGAGGGUCCGAAGAUCAGCGACACUCGGAUGAGGUUGAUGGUGGACGAAUGGCCUUACCAGUGAGCUCCAAUGUUACGUAUUAGACUGUUUCAUGAGAAUGGGCCCGUUUCUUUUUUUUCGUUUCUUUACUAACCAUGCAGUCAAAUUAAGAAUUAUAAAGCUCAAUCGUUUA